rnacentral:rRNA from 1 species
CUACGGGUGGCUGCAGUGGGGAAUAUCGGGCAAUGGGCGCAAGCCUGACCCAGCAACGCCGCGUGAGGGAAGAAGGUUUUCGGAUUGUAAACCUCUGUCCUUGGGGACGAAGAAGUGACGGUACCCAAGGAGGAAGCUCCGGCUAACUACGUGCCAGCAGCCGCGGUAAUACGUAGGGAGCAAGCGUUGUCCGGAAUUACUGGGCGUAAAGGGUGCGUAGGCGGCAUAUUAAGUCAGGUGUGAAAUACUCGGGCUCAACCCGAGGGGUGCAUUUGAAACUGAUAAGCUUGAGUGUGAGAGAGGAAAGUGGAAUUCCUAGUGUAGCGGUGGCAUGCGUAGAUAUUAGGAGGAACACCAGUGGCGAAGGUGACUUUCUGGCUCAUAACUGACACUGAGGCACGAAAGCGUGGGGAGCAAACAGGAUUAGAUACCCGUGUAGUC